rnacentral:lncRNA from 10 species
CAUGCAACUGCUCAUGGUAAAAUCUUGGUUUCUAAAGAAUUUACUAAUCUCUUUUUUUCUUUUUCUUUUAGAGACAGGGUCUCAUUCUGUCACCCAAGUUGGAGUGCACUGGUGUGAUAAGAGCUCGCUGCAGCCUCAGCCUCCUAAGCUCGAAAGAUCCUCCAGUCUCAGCCUCUGGAGUGGCUGGAACUACAGGCAUGCACCACUGCACCUGGGUAAUUUCUUUAUUUUCUAUUUUUUUGUAGAGACAAGGUCUCCCUAUAUUGCCCAGGCUGGUUUUGAACUCCUGGCCUCAAAGAAUCCUCCUGCCUUGGCCUCAUGAAGCACUGUGAUUAUAGGUGUGAGCCAUCAUGCCCAGCCUAGAUUUACUGAUCUUGAUAUGUUCUGCCUUUUCUGACUCCCUUUUAUGUUGACAAAAACAGCAAGUAGCCUGCCUGUGGUCCCGGCUACUCAGGAGACUGAGGUGGGGGAUCGCUUCGGCCCAGAAGUUCUGGGCUAUGGUGCGCUAGGCUGAUCAAGUAUCUGCACUACGUUCAGCACCAGCUUGGUGACCUCCCAGGAGCAGAAGACCACCAGGCUGCCUAAGGCCUGGUGAACCACCCUAAGUCACAAAUGCAGCAGGUCAAAACUCUCGUGCUGAUAGUGGUGGAAUCACAUGUCUGAAUAGCCACUGUACUCCAGCCUGGGCAACACAGCAAGACCCUAUCUCCUAAAAAAAGAAAAAGAAAAAACAGACAGUAACAUAGCCACACUUAGCCAAAUUCUAAACUAUGGUUCAUGCUACCUAAUCAGUCGUGUCUAUUUAAUGCAAUAAUGCCAUUGCACACAACUGUCAUAAGGGCAGGAAAAGAAAACACUAGAACACGAAAUGAAAAGGAACAAACCUUUGACCAAACCAAGUGUUGUUUCCUGAGCUGUGUAAGUCAAAGACAGUCCUAUUACAGGUCAUGAUUUGCAAUGUUCUGCUGUCCAUUGAGUGGUUGUCGGGGUAAGGUGCAUGUGUCUGACUUCACCCAAAUUGUUCAGAAAUGGCACUUGCCUGCCAUCUCUGAAAGACAUAGAUGAAUCUUAAUACAGUCCUUGUACAUAGCUUUUCUAUGUAUUUUUUUCCAGUGGGACAAGAAACACAUGGCAGACUUUACUGUCAUGCUGGGUAUAGUGACCCAGUGAAGAUAAAGCUCCCCUAAGGAAAUUGAUAGCAUGUCUAUUUUAUCAAAGUUUGCAUUUCUUUCAAAGGGUAGCAUCUGGCCAGGAAAUAUAAUGUCCCCUCUUCUAGGAAAUAAAGUGAAAUUGUAAUAAAUGCAAUGUUUAUCAUCGACACGUCUACAUUCCUGAAAUUCUUGGAGUUCACUUUUCUCAUGGGUGAAAUCAGGAUUGGCGUGUUAUCUGUGCAUAGCCUUUGAUGUAAAGAUGACGACACUCCCUAGCCACAUUCCCUAGACGAUUUCAGCUGCCCCCUAAUAAGACGUUCUGCCUGUUACUCUUCAGAAUUAUGGGAUGAAGAGGGCUCCAUAAACCAUCUCACCGAAAGAGAAUCAGAACCACCUACUCUUCCAGGAGCUGAAGAGAGCUUUUAAGCAGAUCACAGAUGACCAAGUGUCCUAGUAAUGUCAGAGUUUCUGGGGAAAAAAACGCUAAUAAAGAGCAAAAGUGCUCCCUGCAUUUCUGAUGCAACAGAUAAUUCUUGCUGAAGCAAAGCAAAACAAACAAACUUUUUUUUGCUUCUCAUUAAUAUAAAUUUUGCUUAACAAUAUUCAGCUCCAGAGAAGAUAUGACACAUGUCAUUUUGCAAUAAGCAACCUGCUAGGGUGUUUUUUAUGAAAAAAUAUCCAGGGAUCUAUCAAAUGAUGGGCAACCGACUCUUUUACCCCAAAGCCGAAGUUCAUUUGUUCAUGGAAUAUUUAUAAAAUCCCACCUGAGCAUCU